rfam:Schistosoma haematobium scaffold1243_8, whole genome shotgun sequence.
AUCUAACUGAAGAGUCCUAAAUAGGACGAAACGCGCGUCCAACUGCAU